rnacentral:tRNA from 1 species
GCCUUCUUAGCUCAGUGGUAGAGCGCGUGGCUUUUAACCACGUGUUCGUGGGUUCGAUCCCCACAGACGGCG